AUUGAACGCUGGCGGCAUGCCUUACACAUGCAAGUCGAACGGCAGCACGGGGGCAACCCUGGUGGCGAGUGGCGAACGGGUGAGUAAUGCAUCGGAACGUGCCCAGUAGUGGGGGAUAACCAGUCGAAAGACUGGCUAAUACCGCAUACGACCUACGGGUGAAAGCGGGGGACCGUAAGGCCUCGCGCUAUCGGAGCGGCCGAUGUCUGAUUAGCUAGUUGGCGGGGUAAGAGCCCACCAAGGCGACGAUCAGUAGCUGGUCUGAGAGGACGACCAGCAACACUGGGACGGGGACACGGCCCAGACUCCUACGGGAGGCAGCAGUGGGGAAUUUUGGACAAUGGGCGCAAGCCUGAUCCAGCCAUGCCGCGUGCGGGAAGAAGGCCUUCGGGUUGUAAACCGCUUUUGGCAGGAACGAAACGGCGCAAGCCAAUACCUUGCGCUAAUGACGGUACCUGCAGAAUAAGCACCGGCUAACUACGUGCCAGCCGCCGCCGUAACAC
rnacentral:rRNA from 1 species